AUACGGAGGAUGCGAGCGUUAUCCGGAUUUAUUGGGUUUAAAGGGAGCGUAGGUGGGAUAUUAAGUCAGCUGUGAAAGUUUGGGGCUCAACCUUAAAAUUGCAGUUGAUACUGGUUUCCUUGAGUACGGUAUAGGUGGGCGGAAUUCGUGGUGUAGCGGUGAAAUGCUUAGAUAUCACGAAGAACUCCGAUCGCGAAGGCAGCUCACCGGGCCGGAACUGACACUGAUGCUCGAAAGUGCGGGUAUCAAACAGGAUUAGAUACCCUGGUAGUCCGCACAGUAAACGAUGAAUACUCGCUGUUUGCGAUACACUGUAAGCGGCCAAGCGAAAGCGUUAAGUAUUCCACCUGGGGAGUACGCCGGCAACGGUGAAACUUAAAGGAAUUGACGGG
rnacentral:rRNA from 1 species